UAGACACUUUUAUUCAAACGUAAAUGCAUAGAAUAUUCAGCAGACUUUUCGUGAUGAAUGCAUAUUAUUACGUUUUUGUAAUUUGAAACGUUGUAAGUGCAAGUGAGUACAUAUACAAUUAUUGUUGAUAGAAAACAAUCGAGUGAUCAUCUCACACGGAAGAAGAAUGAAAUAGAAAGGGGAUUAUCACGCAAACUAAUUUCAAUGUAGACUGGUUAAAUCUAUGAAUAUGUAUAAGAAUGGAUAAAUUCAUUAGACAAUUGCAAAUACAAUUGAUGCAAUGUGAGAAGAAGAGAUGAAUGCUCAUGGCAUCUGUUAAUUUAAUUUGAUUGUCAACUUUCAAGCGUAGGUUGGAUUCAGUGACCUCUAAUAUAGCAUCAACAACGUCCAUGUCCAAUGGAGCCAAGCCAAGUUUCAUAAUUACUUCAUUCAAUUGACGAAUAAAUAAAAUAAUUUUGUCUCUAAUAAAUUUGUAUAUCGAUUUUUAAGUCUGACCCCGGGAAAAAUUUGCCUUCUGUGUGUUAAACUAAAUCAUCAUGCGCAUGUGUAAAUAUAAUUCCAAUUAAAUAAUUCAAUAAACAUUGGAUUCAAUACUGGUAUUAUUUUAUUGACACUUUUUUGAUAAUUGGAAGGGGCUCUGUAUGAUGAGGGGAAUUUCUUCAUAAAGACAAAGAUUAUGAUAAAAACUGGAAAAAAAUAAGAAUGAUACCGUCGGAUUUACAAUUUUAUGUACAAAAAACUUUUCCAUGAAACAAUGAAAUGAAAGAGAUUUUAGCUUUUAAUCAUUUCUAAUCUUCUUUUC